rnacentral:rRNA from 1 species
UACAGAGGUCUCAAGCGUUGUUCGGAUUCAUUGGGCGUAAAGGGCGCGUAGGCGGUUCGCUAAGUUGGAUGUGAAAACUCUGGGCUCAACCCAGAGCCUGCAUCCAAAACUGGCGGGCUAGAGUUCUGGAGGGGGUAGCGGAAUUCAUGGUGUAGCAGUGAAAUGCGUAGAGAUCAUGAGGAAGACCAGUGGCGAAGGCGGGUCUCUGGACAGUUCCUGACACUGAGGCACGAAGGCCAGGGGAGCAAACGGG